rnacentral:rRNA from 2 species
GGUCAAGCGAACAAGUGCAUGUGGUGGAUGCCUUGGCGAUCACAGGCGAUGAAGGACGCGGUAGCCUGCGAAAAGCUACGGGGAGCUGGCAAACGAGCUUUGAUCCGUAGAUGUCCGAAUGGGGAAACCCACUCCUUUUGGAGUAUCCAUGGCUGAAUACAUAGGCCAUGUGAAGCGAACGCGGUGAACUGAAACAUCUAAGUAACCGCAGGAAAAGAAAUCAACCGAGAUUCCCAAAGUAGUGGCGAGCGAAAUGGGAUGAGCCUUGCACUCUUUAUUUGUAUUGUUAGCCGAACGCUCUGGAAAGUGCGGCCAUAGCAGGUGAUAGCCCUGUAGGCGAAAACAGUAUGAAAGAACUAGGUGUGCGACAAGUAGGGCGGGACACGUGAAAUCCUGUCUGAAGAUGGGGGGACCAUCCUCCAAGGCUAAAUACUCGUGAUCGACCGAUAGUGAACCAGUACCGUGAGGGAAAGGCGAAAAGAACCCCGGGAGGGGAGUGAAAUAGAUCCUGAAACCGCAUGCAUACAAACAGUCGGAGCCUCGUAAGGGGUGACGGCGUACCUUUUGUAUAAUGGGUCAGCGACUUACGUUCAGUAGCAAGCUUAACCGUAUAGGGCAGGCGUAGCGAAAGCGAGUCCGAAUAGGGCGUUCAGUUGCUGGGCGUAGACCCGAAACCAGGUGAUCUAUCCAUGGCCAGGAUGAAGGUGCGGUAACACGUACUGGAGGUCCGAACCCACUAACGUUGAAAAGUUAGGGGAUGAGCUGUGGAUAGGGGUGAAAGGCUAAACAAACCUGGAAAUAGCUGGUUCUCUCCGAAAACUAUUUAGGUAGUGCCUCGUGUCUCACCUUCGGGGGUAGAGCACUGUCAUGGUUGGGGGGUCUAUUGCAGAUUACCCCGCCAUAGCAAACUCCGAAUACCGAAGAGUGCAAUCACGGGAGACAGACAUCGGGUGCUAACGUCCGGUGUCAAGAGGGAAACAACCCAGACCGCCAGCUAAGGUCCCCAAAUAUAGCUAAGUGGGAAACGAAGUGGGAAGGCUAAAACAGUCAGGAGGUUGGCUUAGAAGCAGCCACCCUUUAAAGAAAGCGUAAUAGCUCACUGAUCGAGUCGUCCUGCGCGGAAGAUGUAACGGGGCUAAGCUAUAUACCGAAGCUGCGGAUGCGUGCUUUGCACGCAUGGUAGGAGAGCGUUCCGUAAGCCUGCGAAGGUGCCUUGUAAAGGGUGCUGGAGGUAUCGGAAGUGCGAAUGCUGACAUGAGUAGCGAUAAAGGGGGUGAAAGGCCCCCUCGCCGUAAGCCCAAGGUUUCCUACGCAACGUUCAUCGGCGUAGGGUGAGUCGGCCCCUAAGGCGAGGCAGAAAUGCGUAGCUGAUGGGAAGCAGGUCAAUAUUCCUGCACCAUUGUUAGAUGCGAUGGGGGGACGGAUCGCGGAAGGUUGUCCGGGUGUUGGAAGUCCCGGUCGCUGCAUUGGAGAAGGCGCUUAGGCAAAUCCGGGCGCGUAAUUCAAGGGUGUGGCGCGAGCUCCUUAGGGAGCGAAGCAAUUGGAAGUGGUUCCAAGAAAAGCCUCUAAGCUUCAGUCUAACGAUGACCGUACCGCAAACCGACACAGGUGGGCGAGAUGAGUAUUCUAAGGCGCUUGAGAGAACUCGGGAGAAGGAACUCGGCAAAUUGGUACCGUAACUUCGGGAUAAGGUACGCCCUUGUAGCUUGACUGGCCUGCGCCAGGAGGGUGAAGGGGUUGCAAUAAACUGGUGGCUGCGACUGUUUAAUAAAAACACAGCACUCUGCAAACACGAAAGUGGACGUAUAGGGUGUGACGCCUGCCCGGUGCCGGAAGAUUAAAUGAUGGGGUGCAAGCUCUUGAUUGAAGUCCCGGUAAACGGCGGCCGUAACUAUAACGGUCCUAAGGUAGCGAAAUUCCUUGUCGGGUAAGUUCCGACCUGCACGAAUGGCGUAACGAUGGCCACACUGUCUCCUCCCGAGACUCAGCGAAGUUGAAGUGUUUGUGAUGAUGCAAUCUACCCGCGGCUAGACGGAAAGACCCCAUGAACCUUUACUGUAGCUUUGCAUUGGACUUUGAACCGAUCUGUGUAGGAUAGGUGGGAGGCUAUGAAACCGGAACGCUAGUUUCGGUGGAGCCGUCCUUGAAAUACCACCCUGGUUUGUUUGAGGUUCUAACCUUGGCCCGUGAUCCGGGUCGGGGACAGUGCAUGGUAGGCAGUUUGACUGGGGCGGUCUCCUCCCAAAGCGUAACGGAGGAGUACGAAGGUACGCUAGGUACGGUCGGAAAUCGUGCUGAUAGUGCAAUGGCAUAAGCGUGCUUAACUGCGAGACCGACAAGUCGAGCAGGUGCGAAAGCAGGUCAUAGUGAUCCGGUGGUUCUGUAUGGAAGGGCCAUCGCUCAACGGAUAAAAGGUACUCUGGGGAUAACAGGCUGAUACCGCCCAAGAGUUCAUAUCGACGGCGGUGUUUGGCACCUCGAUGUCGGCUCAUCUCAUCCUGGGGCUGUAGCCGGUCCCAAGGGUAUGGCUGUUCGCCAUUUAAAGAGGUACGUGAGCUGGGUUUAAAACGUCGUGAGACAGUUUGGUCCCUAUCUGCCGUGGGCGUUGGAUAUUUGAAGGGGGCUGCUCCUAGUACGAGAGGACCGGAGUGGACGAACCUCUGGUGUACCGGUUGUCACGCCAGUGGCAUCGCCGGGUAGCUAUGUUCGGAAGAGAUAACCGCUGAAAGCAUCUAAGCGGGAAACUCGCCUUAAGAUGAGAUAUCCCUGGGGACUAGAUCCCCUUGAAGGGUCGUUCGAGACCAGGACGUUGAUAGGUCAGGUGUGUAAGCGCAGUAAUGCGUUCAGCUAACUGAUACUAAUUGCCCGUAAGGCUUGAUCCU